CCUACGGGGGGCAGCAGUGGGGGAUAUUGCACAAUGGGGGGAACCCUGAUGCAGCGACGCCGCGUGGGUGAAGAAGCGCCUCGGCGCGUAAAGCCCUGUCAGCAGGGAAGAAAGUGACGGUACCUCAUAAAUAAGCCCCGGCUAACUACGUGCCAGCAGCCGCGGUAAUACGUAGGUUGCAAGCGUUAUCCGGAUUUAGUGGGUGUAAAGGGAGUGUAGACGGGAAAGCAAGUCAGCUGUGAAAAAGCAGGGAUUAACCCUGGACCUGCAUUUGAAACUGUGCAUCUUGAGUGCUGGAGAGGCAAGCGGAAUGCCGUGUGUAGCGGUGAAAUGCGUAGAUAUACGGAGGAACACCAGUGGCGAAGGCGGAUUGCUGGACAGUAACUGACGCUGAGGCGCGAAAGCGUGGGGAGCAAACAGGAUUAGAUACCCCUGUAGUC
rnacentral:rRNA from 1 species